UAACGCUUAUGCCGUAGUAACGUUUAUUUGUAAAGAGAUACAUAUGUAUAUUUAUUGUAUUGUAUACCUAUGUUUGACAAAAAUAAAUUACCAAUUAUAAAAUUUAAUAGAUUUUUAAAAACAUGCAAUAUAUAAGAUCCUAUAACAUGUGUUACAAAAAAUCAUCCAGUGAAGAGGAUGUUCUAUGAUCGUCAGGACAUUUGUAUUCAAAUAUGAGUAUAAUAUAUGUAUUAUGUUUAAUGGUGAAGUUAGUAGUGGAAGUGAUUGGUGAAAAUAAACUCAGUUCACCUAAUAUAGUGUUUAUAAUAGCUGACGAUUUGGGUUGGGACGACGUCAGUUUCCACGGCUCGGAUCAGAUCCCGACGCCCAACAUCGACCUGCUGGCGUAUACGGGGGUCGCCCUGCAGCGGUAUUACUCCCACGCGGUGUGCUCGCCGUCGCGGGCCGCCCUCCUCACGGGGAAAUUUGGACAUAAGCUUGGUAUGCAAGGUUAUCCUUUGACUAAUGGUGAAGAUCGGGGUUUGCCUAUAACUGAAAAAAUACUUUCGCAAUAUUUAAAAGAACUUGGUUAUACUACCCAUUUGGUAGGGAAAUGGCACUCGGGAAGUUCACGGAAAAAAUAUCUGCCCACUGAACGAGGAUUUGAUAGCUACUUCGGACACAUAUGCGGCUACAUAGACUACUAUGAGUACGUGCUAGAGGAAACGUGGGAAUCAGGACAAGUGUCUGGAAUGUGUCUGUAUAGAAACACCACACCAGCAUGGGACGUCGAAGGCUACAUCACUGACGUGUAUACAAAAGAAGCCGUUUCAAUAAUAAAAGAUCACGACACAUCUAAACCAUUGUUCUUGACCGUCGCUCACAAUGCGCCUCAUUCGGGGAACGAUCCGGCAUUAAUGCAGGCCCCGCCCCAAGAUGUGAGGGCCAUGCGUCACGUAGAGCUGCCGGAAAGACGAAUAUUAGCAGCAAUGAUCAAAAAACUCGAUGAAAGUGUCGGUGACAUUAUGGACGCAUUGCACGAAAAAGAAAUGUUGCAAAAUACUAUAAUUGUGUUUGUGUCGGACAAUGGGGGCAUGACCUCUGGAGACUCCUUAAAUUAUGGAUCCAAUUGGCCCUUGAGAGGGAUUAAAAUGAGUCCUUUUGAAGGAGGUAUCAGAGUCACUGGACUAAUAUGGACCUCGACGUUUAACCAUCAUGUGUGGAAUGGCUGCAUGCAUGCAGUAGAUUGGCUUCCUACUUUAAUGAAAGCAAUAGGAGCUGAUGUGCCAACAGAUAUAGACGGGAUUGAUCUAUGGAAUCAAAUUUUAUCAAAUGAAAACACUACUACUCGUAGAAGUGAUAUAUUUGAUAUAUAUGAUCACACUGGACAUUCCACAGUUAUAUCAGGAGAAUUCAAAUUAGUAACUGGUAAUGUUAACUUGGAGUAUAGCAAUUAUCAGGGAGAUGGUUUGAGAGGUAUAAUUGGCAGUGGAAUUUCUUAUGAAAAUUCUAUUAAAAAUAGUAAGAUGUACUCAAUUUUAGAGCAAAUUGAUAAACCCUUCAAUAUAAGUGAGAUUAAUUUAAGAAAUAAUCUUAAAAUUGAUUGUAAAGGAAAAAUACGAGAUAGUAAAACCGUUUGUUAUCCUAAAAAUGGUAAAGCGUGUCUUUUCAACAUAGUGGACGAUCCGUGCGAGACAAUGGACUUAUCUGAAAAAUAUCCAGAUACUUUAAAACGUUUGACAGACAUACUACAAGUAGAAGUAGAUAAGAGAGUACAUCGCCCAGUUCCUCCGUAUAGAGAUCCAAGAGGAUUACCCAAGUUAUUUAAUUAUACGUGGACUACGUUUGCGGAUUACUUUUGAUUUUUUUACGCAAUAAUAGUGUACUUAUUAGAUAAGUGGCAUGAAGUUUGUAAGAAAUGUGAUACACAUAUUGUAUAGAUAGCUCAUGAUAUCAGGAAAACCGAUUAUCUAUUUUCAUUUCGACAUAUUUAGUCUCAGAACCCCUGUAAAGAUAACAGUACCGGGUUGCAGUAUGCAGCCCCCCUGAAGUGAGGGCGAUGCGUCACGUCUGGAGUGGCCGAUCUUUGCAGCUAACGAUAAUUUAUGAGGCUAUUAUCCUUUAAAAUUGAAUUUUGUUACAAUAGAAAACGUGUUAAACGUGGUUUUCCAGGUGAACAUUUCUUAGAAGUUAUAGAAUUUUCACAAGGAUGACAUUUCUGUGUCCAUUGCUGCACAGUUUAAAAUAAACUAGGUAUAUAAUCUACUACUCUUUUUCGUGUGUUAUUUGUUGUAGCCUAAACCAAGUUGUACCCUGAACCAUUGCGUUUCGGAGCCUUCGGAGCGGAGAAUCAGUUUAAAAAUACCAGUAGAAAAUAUAUCAAUUAAUUCCAUCAUACCAAAGCUUCAUACUGUGAAAUAUUUAUAAAGAUUGAUGUAAAGUACCUACAGUGUUAGCGAGUUCGGCUUUGAUGUGAUUAAUAAUUCCUGGAGUUCUGAACGUAAGUACGUUUUGAACUAACUGUGGAGUUCAUAAAUUAAUAACAUAUGCUACAGGUGAAACCAACCUGAAAUAAUUUUUGCUCUAAUCUUUUUGUUGAUAAGAUACAACAAUUAUAUCUCUUUUUGAUAAAUUUUUACAAAAUAAUAGAUAUAGUAAUACAUAGAUUUAAGAAGAAAAAAGUAAAAAAUAAUGGCCUACCAGGAAUCAUAAGGAAAAGUGCUACUCGUAUACAUGCAUAUUAUGUUCAAAAUAUUCAUUAAUAAUUAGUGUUUAUUAAAAAGAAGUAUUUUAGGUAUCUCAUGUUUGCGUAUUCCCGGUUGCACUCUGCGCCACAAUACUUCGGGGUCGGCACCGAUAUAAUAUGUAUUUCUUUCCACAUUGCCGGUCUCUAGCAGCUUUAGUUUUAAGGCCAUGUCACGCACGUCUUUGUAUUAUAUACCGGGUUCACAAAACAAUUGGUGACUAUGAUUGCGCCUACAUAGAAAUCAAUAAUCAGGGGAGUAACUUGCGUAUUCAACAUAGCUAGGGAUAUAGAAUCUUAAUAAACAAACCACAACGUGAACCUUGAAUUUUACCUACUGAGUAUGACGUAAGUACGACACUUCUCGUUCACAUCCAAUUUCAAUACGCAUGUUUGAUGAACCGGUUUAAACAUAUCCUCUUACAGACAUCUUACAGCUUUCUAGUAUCGUUCUAUUUGAUACCUGAGUAGGCAUGAUACAAUUAUAGGUACCUACAGAGGGAAUUUGGGAGGUAUCAAAUACAAGGAAUAACUUAUUUUCAGCAAUAUCGAAAAUAUUUGACGAAAGCUGUGUUCAAAAAUUAUUCAAGUGUACUUCAAACAGUUAGUUAGUUCUACAUUCAUUCAUGUUUUUUAAUGUAAACAAUGUGCAUUCGUCCACGAUUUAGAUUUAAGAG
rnacentral:misc_RNA from 1 species